UAUGUGAUCGUCUCUCGCAUAUCAAUAAGCGGAGGAAAAGAAACUAACAAGGAUUCCCCUAGUAACGGCGAGUGAAGCGGGAAGAGCUCAAAUUUGAAAUCUUAAAGGGUUUCCCUUUACGAAUUGUAGUUUAAAGAAGUGUUUUCUGUUGAGGUUUUGGUAAAAGUUCUUUGGAAUAGGACAUCAUAGAGGGUGAGAAUCCCGUAUUUGACCUUUACUUUCAACUUUGUGAUACACUUUCAAAGAGUCGGAUUGUUUGGGAAUGCAGUCCAAAAUGGGUGGUAAAUUUCAUCUAAAGCUAAAUAUUGGCGAGAGACCGAUAGCGAACAAGUACCGUGAGGGAAAGAUGAAAAGAACUUUGAAAGGAGAGUUAAACAGUACGUGAAAUUGUCAAGAGGGAAGCGUUUGACACCAGUGUUGUUUUUCUGAAAAUCAAUUAAAGAACUGUUUAUGCUAAGUUGUUUAGACUUUAUCAGCUAACUGUUUAGUUUUGAGCUUUUCUUUAAUGCACUUUUCAGUUAACAAGUCAACAUCAAUUUCUUUUGACUGUAAAAAAGCUUGAGGAAGGUGGCUUGAGAUUCGUCUUAAGUGUUUAUAGCCUCUUGCCUAUGCAGUCGGAGAGAUUGAGGUCUAGCAGCGUAGAUCCUUCGGGGCUAAAUGCAUUUGUGCUAAGUUAUAAGCAUUUUAUAGACAACUUGUUGACUAUGAUUUGUCUUGUAGCUUACUCGCUUAUGUUAUUUUACCUACGCUUAGGAUGUUGACACACGCGCGUGCUCG
rnacentral:rRNA from 1 species